CCCUUAGAUGUCCUGGGCAGCACGCGUGCUACAAUGAUGCAUUCAACGAGUCUUGCCUUAACCGAAAGGUUCGGGUAAACUUUUGAAAUUGCAUCUUGUCGGGGCUUGAUCAUUGUAAUUUUUGAUCACAAACAAGGAAUUCCUUGUAAAUGUGAGUCAUCAACUUGCAUUGAAUACGUCCCUGCCCUUUGUACACACCGCCCGUCGCUACUACCGAUUGAAUGGUUUAGUGAGAUCUCCGGAUUGGCUCUGUAGGUCCCGCAAGGGAUUUUUUAGUAGCCAAGAAGCUGCUCAAACUUGAUCAUUUAGAGGAAGUAAAAGUCGUAACA
rnacentral:rRNA from 1 species